UCCAAUGUGGUGUAGUGGCUAACAUUGCUGUCUUUCAUGGAAGGUCAUCCAAAUAACACAGCAGCCCGGGGUUCGAUUCCCCGCAUUGGAA